rnacentral:rRNA from 1 species
UACGGAGGAUGCGAGCGUUAUCCGGAUUUAUUGGGUUUAAAGGGUGCGUAGGCGGACGCUUAAGUCAGCGGUAAAAUUGCGGGGCUCAACCUCGUCGAGCCGUUGAAACUGGGUGUCUUGAGUGGGCGAGAAGUACGCGGAAUGCGUGGUGUGGCGGUGAAAUGCAUAGAUAUCACGCAGAACUCCGAUUGCGAAGGCAGCGUACCGGCGCCCAACUGACGCUGAAGCACGAAGGCGUGGGUAUCGAACAGG